UUCUGGGGUGUAAACUUUACACUGAUAAUGUAGCCUAUAUGAAGUUACUCCAGUAGCACUACCUUCUGCUGACUACAAUAUUAGUCAUACUGCAAAGCUGCUUUUGAGAGCAUCAGGGCAAUCCAAAUGAACCAGAGAAGAGGAGACUGUGUUGAAGUUAAGGACACUCCAUCUCCUGAUUCCAUGCUUUUUCUAUGGCUGUCUCCUGUGUUGGAAUGCUCUCCCUCCUCACCUGUACCACCUGGCUUCCCUGAAAACUCAACUUAUAUUCCACCUUCUCAAAGUGACUGGCCAAAAUGGUGGAGAAGCAGGAAGCAGUGCAGCAAGUUCUCCUCCCUACAACACCUCCAAAUAAAUCUAGAAAAUGUACCCAAAGCCGGAUGGGAAAUUGAAGAAAAAAAUCACAGUCAUUUUUCCAGUCCAACUCAGCACAGAGAGAUAGACAGAGAAGUCAAUGGACACUGGGGAUGAGGUCUGACCAGCAAAGAGCAUGCAGAAGAUUCAACUGCAGUGAAAGUCUAUGUACGAGGACUGCCAAGCAUUGCUGAUGAAAAUACCAUAGAAAUGUUGAAAUGUAAAUUCAGCAGUCAAGAGAAACAUAAAAAGGACUGCCAUAAAAAGGCUCAAUGGAUGACUCUGAGACCCUUCACUAUCUAUUUGAAAGUCGGAUAUAGAAAUUUGCAAGUAAGUGUGGGAGACUGUGCUCUUAUGGAAGUUGCUGAAACCCAGUGAAAGAUAUCAAGCCUGUGAACCAUGCCCAUGGAGCCACCCACCCUUAUCCUACUCUUCCUUAAAUCUCCAUUGUGCCAUCCGAAGCCUCUGUCCUAUUACAUCUAUCGUUACACCUAUAAAAACCCAGUGUUAACACAUUGUUCUUUAUAUUCAACCUGUUCCUACCCUAAUCUACAUACCCAAUUACUU